rnacentral:rRNA from 1 species
GACGAACGCUGGCGGCGUGCUUAACACAUGCAAGUCGAACGGACAGGCCCUGCUUUUGUUUGUUGCUCGAUUGGCGAACGGGUGAGUAACACGUGAGUAACCUGCCCUUGUCUUUGGGAUAACUUCAGGAAACUGGGGCUAAUACCGGAUAGGAGCUCCUGCUGCAUGGUGGGGGUUGGAAAGUUUCGGCGGUUGGGGAUGGACUCGCGGCUUAUCCGCUUGUUGGUGGGGUAGUGGCUUACCAAGGCUUUGACGGCUAGCCGGCCUGAGAGGGUGACCGGCCACAAGGGGACUGAGAGACGGACCAGACUCCUACGGGAGGCAGCGGGGGGGAAUAUUGCACAGUGGGCGGAAGCCUGAUGCAGCAACGCCGCGUGCGGGAUGACGGGCUUCGGGUGGUAAACCGAUUUCGCCGGUGACGAAGCGUGAGUGACGGUAAUGGGUAAGAAAGCACCGGCUAACUACGUG